CUGGGGUAGCAAAAUAGUAUCCUGUGCAGUGUGCAGCUGUUCCUGUUGGAUUUGCAAAUAAGGAGGAGUGGUAGGGUAGCGGAACUCCCCCUCUUGAACCUCCUGACUCCAUUUUAGAAGACGUCACAGAGUCCCAAGCCCAGAGCUGGCUUAGCCCAGGUCUGGCUUCAGAGAUGUUUGCUUUUUCCAGCACUUGAACCUAGGGAGGAACUAAAGCCUCUGGCCAACACACAGUGAAGAACAGAGGCCUGCCAACAGCCACAUCAGCGAAUCUGAAAGUGGACUCUCCAGCUCCAGAGUCUCCAGCAAUGAAUCCUGUGGAGAACUGGAAAGCAGUAUUAUUUCCUGUAGUUCACCAUCUGUGGACCAAGCUUUUUCUUUCCUUGUGAUGCAAUUCAAUGCCUAUACUACCCAACUGCAGCCUAGCUCUACAUC